UUUUCAGAUGCGUUCUCCUCCCACACUCUGUUUCUCUUCCUCUAUCUCUUUUCAACGAAAAAAAUCCAGGAAACCAGAUCCAAAAAUUUCAUCAAAUCGUACAUGAUUUUAAGCGAAAAUCUGAUCGUAACACUCUAAUAAUAUCAAGAACUUCAAUUAAACAAAGAAUCAAAGAUGAAAUCAAGUUUUUUUCUUGAAAACUAGGGUUUCAAAUUGAUUUUGAAGGUUCAAUUGUUGUAUCUUAAACAACUAAAAGAUGAAAGGUAAAAAAAUGAAAGGCGCAUGUAAUCGUCGCUCGAAAGAGAAGAUGAUUCUACUUUUCUGUGUUGCUCCCCCAAGUUAAAAAAGACAUCAAAAAUUUAGAGACUCCAUUUUGAUCUCUAUGGAUCUCUUAAAAAGUUGGUUUAUAAAUCACAGGUACUUAUGGUUCUGGGGAACUUCUCUGCCGAAGAUUAUUAUAUCGGAAAGGUACUGUUGGUCGGUGAAUUCUUGAGCUUGGUCAAUUUCAUAUGUAUGUAUGUACAUCAUCGGAAGUUUGGAAAUUUAAAGAUGGUCAAUUUCGUAUGUAUGUUCAUCAUCGGAAGUUUGUAAAUUAUCGGAAAUUAGUAAAUUUAAAGACGGGUCACUUUUGAGUUGUAUGAAAUGAAUGUGGUUGUAUAAGAUAUUGUCUAUUGUUGUAAAUGAAAUGUAGCUACAGAUGCACUACAGGUAUAAAGCUUGUGGAAAAUGGCUGAUAAAUA